GGUCAAGCGACUAAGCGCAUACGGUGGAUGCCUUGGCAGUCAGAGGCGAUGAAGGACGUAGUAGCCUGCGAAAAGCUUCGGGGAGUCGGCAAACAGACUUUGAUCCGGAGGUAUCCGAAUGGGGAAACCCACCUGGUGUAAGCCAGGUAUCCUCAACUGAAUUCAUAGGUUGAGGAGGCGAACGAGGGGAACUGAAACAUCUAAG
rnacentral:rRNA from 1 species